rnacentral:rRNA from 1 species
CAUAGGUUUAGGGCACUGGAAGGUCCCUAAACCGAAAGGGGCUCUGCCCGCCCGAGGAUGGGCCGGCGGCCGAUUAGGUAGUUGGUGGGGUAACGGCCCACCAAGCCCAUAAUCGGUACGGGCAGUGAGAGCUGGAGCCCGGAGAUGGACACUGAGACACGGGUCCAGGCCCUACGGGGCGCAGCAGGCGCGAAACCUCCGCAAUGCUCGAAAGAGCGACGGGGGGACCCCAAGUGCCGUGGUACAACCACGGCUUUUCCGGAGUGUAAGAAGCUCCGGGAAUAAGGGCUGGGCAAGGCCGGUGGCAGCCGCCGCGGUAAUACCGGCGGCCCGAGUGGUGGCCACUAUUAUUGGGCCUAAAGCGUCCGUAGCCGGGCUUGUAAGUCCCUGGCGAAAUCCCACGGCUCAACCGUGGGGCUUGCUGGGGAUACUGCAGGCCUUGGGACCGGGAGAGGCCGGGGGUACUCCUGGGGUAGGGGUGAAAUCCUAUAAUCCCAGGAGGACCGCCAGUGGCGAAGGCGCCCGGCUGGAACGGGUCCGACGGUGAGGGACGAGGGCCAGGGGAGCAAACCGGAUUAGAUACCCGGGUAGUCCUGGCUGUAAAGGAUGCGGGCUAGGUGUUGCUUGGACCUCGAGUCCAAGCAGUG